rnacentral:rRNA from 1 species
UGACGACCGGCGGAUGGGUGAGUAACGCGUAUGCAACUUGCCUCUUAGUGGGGGAUAACCCGGAGAAAUCCGGACUAAUACCGCAUAUUCUUAAUUUCUCGCAUGGGUUAUUAAGGAAAGAUUUAUUGCUAAGAGAUAGGCAUGCGUUCCAUUAGUUAGUUGGUGAGGUAACGGCUCACCAAGGCAUCGAUGGAUAGGGGAGCUGAGAGGCUGAUCCCCCACAUUGGGACUGAGACACGGCCCAAACUCC